GGCGGGGUCCGCAAAGGUGGAAGGAAAGUUUGAGGCAGCCCAGUGGUUCAGAGAGGGGGACACAGGAGGCAACCCAGGAUAACGGUUGGCCCUGGACCCCGGCAGACUGCAUGGGGGGGUCCUGGCUGGGACAGGGGUCUGGGCCCACCUGCCCUGGAGUGGGGAGCACCUGCCAGGCCCUCACCAGCUCCUCCUCACCCUGCCACCCUCCUGGGAAGAACUCACUCGCCACCUGGGGAGGCCAGGAGCAGGCCAGGUGGGGACCCGGCAGGGAAGGCUCCACCCACCCAUGGUGUGCAGGGGCUGGGGGAAGUGGCCUGGUGAGGAAGGGGCUGCCCCCUCCUCUGGAGGGCCCUUAGGGACUCUGCGCCUACCCAGGAAACAGCAGCAGCCCUGCAGUGGCACUGGGUAAUCUCUGCAGCGAAUCUGCUGGAUGGCCUCACUGGCCCCUCCUGGACCUGCUCCAAGAGGCCAAGCCCCACACACACACCGGCCCCUAGGAAGGCCUAGCCGAGGGGCUCAAGUCCAGCCAGCAGCUCAGGCUGGCCAGGCCACUUCCAAGCAGAGUCCUGGACCAGGGUUCUGGUCCCAGCUCCCACAGGACCUGACUACUGCCUCAGUUUCCCCAUCUGUCAAUGGAGCCAGCAAGGCCUGUCUGGAGUGCAAAUCUUGACCAAGUCACCCCGGAAGUCCCUUCAAAAGCAAGACCAGGGGUUGUGGGCCGGUCCCAGAGGAGAAGCCAGAGCUGCUAGUCCUCCUCCUGCUGGGCAGGCGCCUGCACCCACCCCCUCCCAGCCAGUGAGCCGAGCCCCCGCCAUCACCCACUCCCCAAGCCUGGGACUCUGGACUUACAGGCGCACAGACCCCACCACUCACAGCACCCCCACCCCAGCCACCACCUGCACCCGGCCCAGGUCUCCUGCCUCCGACUCUCCUUUUUGGGUCCCUCGGAGUCGUCCUGGCCUCGGGCAGCCCAGGCUGGGCACAGGAGGCAGCGCCAAGUCACCAGGCACAAGGCAUGGGGUGGGGGGCAGCGAUUCUGGCUGUGGCGGACAGAGGAGGAUCCCUGCAUCCCUGGCCCACCUCCACCCACAACCGACACCCUCGCCGAAGGCCUCCCUGCGCCUCAGUCUCCCCAACAACAACAUGAUGUCAGAAGGCCUGAGCCUGCCUCGGUGGUCACUCGGCAGCAUGAGAUCGGAAGGCACACUGGCCACUGGUGCCAUGCGGCCAGCAGGUGGAGGCGGGGCCUAGGUCUGGCUUCGCUUCCCCAAGCUGUGUCCCCCACAUCCCUGGAAGAGCAGGUGCUCUAGCUGCACUCACCUGCACAGCUCCGUCCCUGCUUCCUCCAGCUCCUGGGUGGACAGGGAGGCCCCGGCUUCCCGCAGCAACCCAAUGACACCCGGAUGCCUGUGUGAGAAUGAGCAUGCUGACCUUCUGCCCUGGCCAGCCCAGCCCCGCUGCACCUCACUCAGGAGCCAGCAGAGCUCAUGUCCUGUGCACAGGGACGGGGACCGGCCGGCCCAAGACCCCACAGCCCUAGCCUCAGACAAGGGCCCAUCCCCCCAUCCUCUGCCUAGGCCCAUGUGACAUCAUCCCGGGAUCCCACCACCUCCAUUUGUCCAGUACUCCUUCUUAGGGCAGCUGAGGUCUGCAAGGGGUGGGGUCAACUCUGUGGCAGCCCCGCACCCAGCACCCAGGGGAGGGCAUUAGUUGGUGCUAGCAGAAUAGCUCCUCCCAGGGCAGUCUCCCCAACCCAUUCCAAGGGGACAGCCCAUUUCAGAGGACAGCCUUACUUGUGAUGUCAGCACCCACUGUGGCCAGAGGCAGCAGGUUCGG
rnacentral:lncRNA from 1 species